rnacentral:misc_RNA from 1 species
GAUGAAGAACGUAGUGAAAUGCGAUACUUGGUGUGAAUUGCAGAAUCCCGUGAACCAUCGAGUCUUUGAACACAAGUUGCGCCCGAAGCCAUCAGGUUGAGGGCACGUCUGCCUGGGCGUCACAUAUCGUUGCCCAAUGCCUAUUGCAGUGCAAUAGGAAUUUCUAGGGCGAAUGAUGGCUUCCCGUGAGCGUUGUUGCCUCGCGGUUGGUUGAAAAUCGAGUCCUUGGUAGGGUGUGCCAUGGUAGAUGGUGGUCGAGUUAGAACGAUACCGAUCAUGUGCAUGCUCCCCAAAAUAUGGCCUCUAUGACCCACACGCGUCUUUUGACGCUCAUGACGAGACCUCAGGUCAGGCGGGGCUACCCGCUGAAUUUAAGCAUAUCAAUAAGCGGAGGA